rnacentral:tRNA from 1 species
GGCACUGUGGCUUGGUUGGUUAAAGUGCCUGUCUAGUAAACAGGAGAUCCUGGGUUCAAAUCCCAGCGGUCCCU